rnacentral:rRNA from 1 species
UACGAAGGGUGCAAGCGUUACUCGGAAUUACUGGGCGUAAAGCGUGCGUAGGUGGUUCGUUAAGUCUGUCGUGAAAGCCCCGGGCUCAACCUGGGAAUGGCGAUGGAUACUGGCGGGCUAGAGUGCGGUAGAGGAGAGUGGAAUUCCCGGUGUAGCAGUGAAAUGCGUAGAGAUCGGGAGGAACAUCAGUUGCGAAGGCGGGUCUCUGGGCCGAUACUGACGCUGAGGAGCGAAAGCGUGGGGAGCGAACAGG